rnacentral:rRNA from 1 species
UUCCGGAGAGGGAGCCUGAGAAACGGCUACCACAUCCAAGGAAGGCAGCAGGCGCGCAAAUUACCCAAUCCAGACAUUGGGAGGUAGUGACGAGAAAUACUGGGGGCGCUCCUAGUGAGUGCCGUCCAGAAUGAACGUAAUAUAAAAAAUUCGAUGAGGAUCUACUGGAGGGCAAGUCUGGUGCCACCAGCCGCGGUAAUUCCAGCUCCAGUAGUGUAUAUCAAUAUUGUUGCGCUUAAAACGCUCGUAGUUGGAUUACAGCCGACCUGUAUAUUAGUACAAAUGUAUUGAUGGAAUGUAUAUUUUGUAUUAAAAUAAUUUUAAAAGGUUAUGUUAAUAUAUUUAUAUACAUUUGGGUCGGUUUUUAUCUCACUGGUUUGAGUUGAUAUCUUUAUUGUUAUUAGCUUAAACCCGGUGGAGUGUGCCUUGAAUAAAACAUGGUGCUCAAAGCAAGCAAGUGUACGCUCGAGUGUAAUAGCGUGGAACGAAUAACUAUAUUAUAACCAUAUAGAUUAAUUGAAAAUUUAAAAUAUCAAGUACAAUUGUAUAUUUUAUAUAUUAAUCUGUAUAUUAAAACAGUCCAGUGUUGGUUGUGUUGAUGGUUUAAAUGAUUAAAAGGGACGCCUGAGGGCACUAAUACUCUGUGGCGAGAGGUGAAAUUCUUAGACCCGCAGAAGACUGAUUAUUGCUAAAGCAUUUGCCAAGAGUGUUUUCAUUAAUCAAGAACGAAGGUCAGAGGAUCGAAGACGAUCAGAUACCGUCAUAGUUUUGACAGCACAACAAUGCCGGCAUAGGUUUGGGACGGUCUAACACCGGUAUGUGUGUAUCGGCCAUUCCAGACCUUAGGGGAAACCUAGCUUUCGGGCUGCUGGGAGAAUAUCGCUGCAAGGCUGAAAUUUAAAGAAAUUGACGGAGAGGCACCACCAGGAGUGGAGCCUGCGGCUUAAUUUGACUCAACACGGGGAAACUCACCAGGUCCAGACAUUGGUAGGAUUGACAGACUGGUUGAUCUUUCAUGAUUCAGUGAAUGGUGGUGCAUGGCCGUUCUUAGUUGGUGGAGUGAUCUGUCAGGUUUAUUCCGGUAACGAGCGAGACCACGACCUUUAUUUGAUUGAAAGAAUUUUAUUCUAUAAUAAAAAUAGAGGGACUAUUGGCGUAUUAAGCCAGGGGAAGCGUGGCAAUAACAGGUCUGUGAUGCCCUUCGAUGUCCUGGGCUGCACGCGCGCUACAAUGGCAGCAGUAAAGAGUAUAAAUAUUCAUCUUUUAAAAGAGAUGUAAUUAUUUUAAAGCUAACUAGAGAUGGUAUGGCUAAACUGUAAAUGGCUGUCGUGAUAGGGAUUGAGCCUUGUAAUUUUUGCUCAUGAAAGAGGAAUUCCUCGUAAGCACGAGUCAUCAGCUCGUGUUGAAUACGUCUCUGCCUCUUGUACACACCGCCCGUCGCUACUACCGAUUGAAUUGUGUUUAAAGCUGGCUGG